GACGAACGCUGGCGGCGUGCUUAACACAUGCAAGUCGAGCGGUAAGGCCCUUUCGGGGGUACACGAGCGGCGAACGGGUGAGUAACACGUGGGUGACCUGCCCUCAGCUCUGGGAUAAGCCCGGGAAACUGGGUCUAAUACUGGAUAUGACUCCACGGUGCAUGCCGUGGGGUGGAAAGCCUUGUGCGGCUGAGGAUGGGCCCGCGGCCUAUCAGCUUGUUGGUGGGGUGAUGGCCUACCAAGGCGACGACGGGUAGCCGGCCUGAGAGGGCGACCGGCCACACUGGGACUGAGACACGGCCCAGACUCCUACGGGAGGCAGCAGUGGGGAAUCUUGCGCAAUGGGCGAAAGCCUGACGCAGCGACGCCGCGUGAGGA
rnacentral:rRNA from 1 species